rnacentral:rRNA from 1 species
CCUACGGGCGGCAGCAGUGGGGAAUAUUGGACAAUGGGGGGAACCCUGAUCCAGCCAUGCCGCGUGUGUGAAGAAGGCCCUCGGGUUGUAAAGCACUUUCAGUGAGGAAGAACGCCUGGUGGUUAAUACCCAUCAGGAAAGACAUCACUCACAGAAGAAGCACCGGCUAACUCCGUGCCAGCAGCCGCGGUAAUACGGAGGGUGCGAGCGUUAAUCGGAAUUACUGGGCGUAAAGCGCGCGUAGGUGGCUUGAUAAGCCGGUUGUGAAAGCCCCGGGCUCAACCUGGGAACGGCAUCCGGAACUGUCAAGCUAGAGUGCAGGCGAGGAAGGUAGAAUUCCCGGUGUAGCGGUGAAAUGCGUAGAGAUCGGGAGGAAUACCAGUGGCGAAGGCGGCCUUCUGGACUGACACUGACACUGAGGUGCGAAAGCGUGGGUAGCAAACAGGAUUAGAUACCCCGGUAGUC